rnacentral:rRNA from 1 species
CCUACGGGAGACAGCAGUGAGGAAUAUUGGUCAAUGGCCGGAAGGCUGAACCAGCCAUGCCGCGUGAAGGUCAGUGCCCUAUGGGCGUUAAACUUCUUUUGUGCGGGAGCAAUAAUGGUCACGUGUGGCCAAACUAGAGUACCGUACGAAUAAGCAUCGGCUAACUCCGUUCCAGCAGCCGCGGUAAUACGGGGGAUGCAAGCGUUAUCCUGAUUUACUGGGUUUAAAGGGUGCGUAGGCUGUGAGGUAAGUCAGCUGUGAAAUGCCCCCGCUCAACGGGGUGAAGUGCCAUUGAUACUGCCUUGCGGGAAUGCGGAUGCCGUGGGAGGAAUGUGUGGUGUAGCGGUGAAAUGCAUAGAUAUCACACAGAACACCGAUUGCGAAGGCAUCUCACGAAUCCGCGAUUGACGCUGAUGCACGAAAGCGUGGGUAUCAAACAGGAUUAGAUACCCGAGUAGUC